rnacentral:rRNA from 1 species
ACUACGGGAGGCAGCAGUGGGGAAUAUUGGGCAAUGGGCGCAAGCCUGACCCAGCAACGCCGCGUGAAGGAAGAAGGCUUUCGGGUUGUAAACUUCUUUUCUCAGGGACGAAGCAAGUGACGGUACCUGAGGAAUAAGCCACGGCUAACUACGUGCCAGCAGCCGCGGUAAUACGUAGGUGGCAAGCGUUAUCCGGAUUUACUGGGUGGAAAGGGCGUGUAGGCGGGAAAGCAAGUCAGAUGUGAAAACCAUGGGCUCAACCUGUGGGCUGCAUUUGAAACUGUUUUUCUUGAGUACUGGAGAGGCAGACGGAAUUCCUAGUGUAGCGGUGAAAUGCGUAGAUAUUAGGAGGAACACCAGUGGCGAAGGCGGUCUGCUGGACAGCAACUGACGCUGAGGCGCGAAAGCGUGGGGAGCAAACAGGAUUAGAUACCCUAGUAGUC